rnacentral:rRNA from 1 species
AUACGGAGGAUGCGAGCGUUAUCCGGAUUUAUUGGGUUUAAAGGGUGCGUAGGCGGCCUUGUAAGUCAGCGGUGAAAUUUUGCAGCUUAACUGUAAAAGUGCCGUUGAUACUGUGAGGCUAGGAUUUGGUUGCUGUGGGUGGAAUGUGUGGUGUAGCGGUGAAAUGCUUAGAGAUCGCACAGAAUAUCGAUUGCGAAGGCAGCGCACAAAGCCAAGAUUGACGCUGAGGCACGUAAGUGUGGGGAUCAAACAGGAUUAGAUACCCUGGUAGUCCACACUGUAAACGAUGAUAACUCGCUGUCGGCGAUAUACAGUCGGUGGCCAAGCGAAAGCGAUAAGUUAUCCACCUGGGGAGUACGACCGCAAGGUUGAAACUCAAAUGAAUUGACGGGG